rnacentral:rRNA from 1 species
GGAUUACCUCAGUAACGGCGAGUGAAGCGGUAACAGCUCAAAUUUGAAAUCUGGCUCUUUCAGGGUCCGAGUUGUAAUUUGUAGAAGAUGCUUUGGGCAUUGCUCCGGUCUAAGUUCCUUGGAACAGGACGUCAUAGAGGGUGAGAAUCCCGUAUGUGACUGGUGGCAUUUGUCCGUGUAAAGCUCUUUCGACGAGUCGAGUUGUUUGGGAAUGCAGCUCAAAAUGGGUGGUAUAUUUCAUCUAAAGCUAAAUAUUGGCCAGAGACCGAUAGCGCACAAGUAGAGUGAUCGAAAGAUGAAAAGCACUUUGGAAAGAGAGUUAAACAGUACGUGAAAUUGUUGAAAGGGAAGCGCUUGCAACCAGACUUGCAGGUCGUUGAUCAUCCGGGGUUCUCCCCGGUGCACUCGGCGGCUUUCAGGCCAGCAUCGGUUUGAGUGGUGGGAUAAAGGCCUUGGGAAUGUGGCUCCUCUCGGGGAGUGUUAUAGCCCAAGGUGCAAUGCCGCCUAUUCGGACCGAGGACCGCGCUUCGGCUAGGAUGCUGGCGUAAUGGUUGUAAGCGACCCGUCUUGAAACACGGACCAAGGAGUCUAACAUCUAUGCGAGUGUUUGGGUGUCAAACCCAUACGCGUAAUUAACGUGAACGGAGGUAAGAACCCUUAAGGGUGCAUUAUCGACCGAUCCUGAUGUCUUCGGAUGGAUUUGAGUAAGAGCAUAGCUGUUGGGACCCGAAAGAUGGUGAACUAUGCCUGAAUAGGGUGAAGCCAGAGGAAACUCUGGUGGAGGCUCGCAGCGGUUCUGACGUGCAAAUCGAUCGUCAAAUUUGGGUAUAGGGGCGAAAGACUAAUCGAACAU